GGUGCAGUUUGAGCUCUACAAAGUCAAUGUUCCAGUUCAACGAGUGUAACAAAAUGGUUGGGGGGGCAGCAUCCCUCCCUCGUGAAGUCAAAUCUCUCAAUGCCAAAAGGCAAGAGGUAUUUCUCUUGGUACUAGGAUAUAGAUCAAUACCUUUUUCUUUAUUAUUAUUGUUAUUGCUUGAAUUUGGCUGGUUAGGUGUAGUCGCUUGUAGAUGCUCGUAUACUUGCAUCAACAAUAUGUAAAGGACAGCGGGGUGCCGAUUGUGGUCGGGGACCCUCCGAUGCCUAAGUCAGGCGGGUAGACCGAAGGUAAAAGUGGGACUUGAGCUAGGGUUAUUUGUUACUUACCUCCCUUCAAUUGUGAUGGGUGUACUUAUAGGGUGUUUAGGCGGCUUCAAAACUUGCGUAUCCCGGUGGGUUACACUGGAUUCGUUGGAGGGUCUUUCUUUGGAUGAGAAUAUACUUUCGAAAGUAUCUUUGAGCUUGCCUCGGUCGGCGUGAUCUACAUGUAGAAUCGUGCCGAAUAUUUCCUUUCUUGGUUCGAGGCGGGAUUCUUUUUGAGUUUUCCGUCCCUCUGGUUGGGGUCGAUCUGGUCAGCUCAGGAGAUGAUUCCCAUCAUUGAGCUCUGCCUUUAAGCAGCUCAGCUCAGGGUUGACUUAGGACUCAUCCCUCUGUCGGUGCCUUAUCUGCUUGGGAGGUUCAUCAUAGUAUUAUAAUCAACUUAAUUUUAAGGCAUUUCUCAUAUGAUUGGUUACAUUUCCCGUACAACAGGCUAGCUUGGUUUUCCCCACAACAAUUGCCCCCUACUUCCUAGCUCGUUGUGCACGAGCCUAGGAAGUAGGAGCCUAAACUAGUCUGGAAGCGUGGGAACCGAAUUUUAAACUGCAAGUAGCCCAAUCCUUUUCUUUUGCUUGAAACUUCAAGUCGAACUCAGAUUUGUCGUUUAAUGAUGAGGGCGAGAACAGAAAAGGCGAUGCCCAUUGUGAGAUCAAAAAAAAAAAUGAUGGCGAUUGCGAGGUAUGAGGGGAUGCCCAUUAAUUGGAAAACGCCGUUCAACCCCCAAACGAAUCACAAACGAACAAUUGUCACCCAAACUAUCAUGGUCUUGUCCAGGCUAACCCUGCCCCUCCACGUGGAGGGGCACGUCAGUUGAAGCGUCUCCUUGAUCCCACGUGGCUUUACUUGGCAAUAAAUGCCUUGCUAUAGGGGCUAUAUAAGUAUUGUCUCCCCUCCUCAUUAGCUCAUCAGCCCGUGUCUACGAAGCCCGAGCUCUGCUGACCAGGUCUUCCUCCCUUGCCUCUAGCUUGCAAGUCCCCUCUCCUUCAUCGUACCCCGGUUGGAGAUCUCUGUGUCAGAGCUUUCUUUAGGUACGCUUGGACCUUCCCCUUCUAUUUUCUUCUACCUUUUUCUUCUUCCUUCCUUCUAGCGCCCUCCUUUUUUUUUUCCUCUGUCUUCUGGAGAGAACUCCGGGGACGCCUCUGUCUUCGAGGCCUUUCAUGGGGAGUCGGUGAGUAAUAGUACUGUCUCCCUGUCUGCCCCGUCUUCAUGUUUCAGGCCUCCGGGGCCUACCCCUCCUCCUAGGGAGCCAUCAACAGAGAUGAUAUGUUGAUCAGGGGAGGCCUCAAGCGAAGCCGACCUCCUUGUCUUCAAGGGAUGUAGCUCCCUUACGACUAACAUCUCUGUGCCUAGGUUGAGGACGGGGGACCUACAAGCCUCCAGUCAGAGUAUGCGAUCCCAAGCUUGGUGGGGCUCUUGCUUCCUCGGGCAGGAGAGCUUCCAGGCCAACCUCCUGUGAGGGAUGUUACCUUGUAUCCAAUUUUCUUUUCUCGCGGUUACCCUUCCAUCCAGUGGUGAGAGAAAUGCUCCACCGUCUUAGGGUCACUUCAGGACAGUUAAAUCCCAAUGUGUGGAGAGUUGUCUUUGGCUACUGCAUCCUGUGGCAGCUGGUCGACAAUUCAGAGCUAUCUGUGGAUGAGCUCUUAUUCUUCUACCAUGCCAAGAGCAGCCUUGUCUCUUGAGGUUGGUACUAUUUUUCUUUGUGGUGGGGCAAGGGUUAGGUCAUCAUUAUCAAUGAUCCGUCCUCGAACAAGGGCUGGAAGGACAAAUGAUUUUUUGCAACUGGAGAGUGGAAGGCCCCUACGGCGAAACUGGACGGAUUAUGAGCUCGAGUUCCUACCUCCUUUGUCCUCCUAGCUUUCCCUAAGUCCCAACCCAGUCUCUCUGCUUUCUUCUUAUGCUAGAUCAAGAUUACCAGAGAGCGACCCGCAACCCAGAGAAAUUGUAGGAGGUUAAUCACUCAUCUCCUGCAGUAGGUUGGCCUCUCUUUGGCAGGCUCAACGGAAAUGUCGAAUCGGCCGCUGCCAAAGAAAAGAAAGUUGCCAUCCACCACCAAGAUGGAGCGGCUAAAGGCUGCUGCUAGGAGGAUAGCCCCACCAACUCUUGCUAGGUAUUCCGUGGCGGGUACUUCCGCUGGCAGGUCUGCCGCACAUGCAACAGAGAGGGUGGCAGCUAGGGUUGCUCCUGAGGUUCCUCCACCAUCUGCCUAGGUGGAGGCUGAGGCCGCAGUCGCUCCCAUAGAGUGUCAAGUGGCAGCUCAGAUGCCGACUGCGUCGGGCUCCCCCUCUCCGUGCAUGCCUUCGAGGGAGGUUGUUGAUUUGGACGCGUCUCCUGCCCGCAUCAAGGAAACCCGGUCUGAGAUAGGGCUUUAGAGGGUGUGUCUGAGCACCAGAGCUCAGCUCCUGAGGGGGCGACAAUAG